rnacentral:rRNA from 1 species
GGUUCCGUGUAAGUUGAUGCGGGAUCUGGCCUGCCCAAUGAUAUUUGUUGAAUGGCCGCGGUAUUUUGACCGUGCAAAGGUAGCAUAAUCAUUAGUCUUUUAAUUGGGGUCUGGAAUGAAUGGUUGAACGAGGGAAAAGCUUUCUUUGGGUUAUUUAUUUGAAUUUUAYUUUUUAGUGAAAAGGCUAAAAUUGUCUUGGGGGACGAUAAGACCCUAUAGAUCUUUAUAUUUCUAUUUACUAACCAAGUAAUUAGGGGUAUUUUGUUGGGGCGACAAGGAGAUAUAAUAAACUCUCUUAAUAAUAAGUUACUUAUUGGUAUGUGGAGGAUCCAUGUGUUAAUGAUUGUUAGAUUAAGUUACCUUAGGGAUAACAGCGUGAUUUCUUUUGAGAGUUCAUAUCGACAAAGGAGAUUGCGACCUCGAUGUUGGAUUAAAGGAUUCUUUACGGUGUAGCAGUUGUGAAGGAAAGUCUGUUCGACUAUUAAAUCUUUACA